rnacentral:lncRNA from 10 species
CUUGUGCCAAGAAGAUUAAGGACACAGACCACAGAGGAGUGAGUUUAGGAGCAGAGGUUUAAUAGGCAAAAGAAAGAGAAAGGAGGAGACCAGCUCUCUCCCUUGUGAGACAGAGGAGCUCCCAAAAGGGAAAAAAAAAACACCCCUUGGUGGACUGCACCAGAAUUUAUAGGCAGGCUUAAGGAGGUAUGUCUGAUUUACGUAAGGCUCACAGAUUGGUUCGACCAGGCGUGAUGUUUACAUAGUGCAGAGGGAAAGGCUGGUUGCCCCACCCUAAUCUUAUUAUUAUGUCUUUGCCUAGCAGGGGCCAUAUUGUCUGCUCCUUACUGUACACAUGGUUUGGCAAAGAGAAGGGAAGAUGGAGCCACUAUUUUGAACAUGCCUAGUCCCAGGUAGCCUUUUCCUAUCGGCACAACUGGUGGCAUUCACCCGUGCAAGCUUCCAGCUUGCUUAUCGAUGUCUGCAGCUUAAUUAUACAGGCUGCUCUUUGUUAGAAAAGAAAAUGAUUUGGGGGCUGCUUUUCAUUAAAAGGAAAACUUUACCAAGGACUCCUGUAGCCUCACUAUCUGCCUAAGUAAUUUCUUCUUAACUCCUAUAUCAUGAGGAUUGACAUUCGUCAGAGGUAAGGUGUUAUGCUGCAAGUUCGUAUUAUUUGGCAAAUUGAUGGGAAGACGUUACAGUAAAUAGUCUCCAAACAAGAUGCCAUGAAUUGAUUAUUUUCCUCUAUGCACAUGAUACUCUGCCCACCAAAAUUUAUAGUCUGCUUCUUACUCUCUUAAACCCGGAGUGGACUUUUGACUUGGCUUGGUGAGUAACAUAUAGCAGAAGUGAUGCUAUGCCAGUUCCAGGUUUAUCGUUUAAGAAGUCUGGCAGCUUCUGCUUUCAUUCAUAAAGCCAGCCACCAUCUAAGAAAUCUGAUUAACCUGAGACAACCAUGCUGUGAAAAGAAACAAACCAGCCACAUGGAAGAGAAUGAGGCACUGUCCAUGUGAACGAAGUCUUCUCAGAUCUUCCAACCCAGCCCAGACAUCAGCUGGAUACAGCCAAAGGAGUGACUCAGUUGAUACUACUAGUCAGAGAAGAGCUGCGUGCUGAGCCAAAGCGACCUACAGAUUCAGGAGAAAGAACUGAGGUCGCAAGACAACAAACUGGUCCUAAAUAAAAAGUAAGAAAAAUGCCGGGGAGGAGCCAAGAUGGCCAAAUAGGAACAGCUCCGGUCUACAGCUCCCAGCGUGAGCGACGCGGAAAAUGGGUGAUUUCUGCAUUUCCAUCGGAGGUACCGGGUUCAUCUCACUAGGGAGUGCCAGACAGUGGGCACAGGUCAGUGGGUGUGCGCACCGUGCGCAAGCCAAAGCAAGGUGAGGCAUUGCCUCACUUGGGAAGUGCAAGGGGUCAGGGAGUUCCCUUUCCGAGUCAAAGAAAGGGGUGAUGGACGCACCUGGAAAAUCGGGUCACUCCCACCUGAAUAUUGCGCUUCUCGGACCAGCUUAAAAAACGGCGCACCACGAGAUUAUAUCCCGCACCUGGCUCGGAGGGUCCUACGCCCACGGAGUCUUGCUGAUUGCUAGCACAGCAGUCUGAGAUCAAACUGCAAGGCAGCAGCGAGGCUGGGGGAGGGGCGCCCGCCAUUGCCCAGGCUUGCUUAGGUAAACAAAGCAGCCAGCCGGGAAGCUCGAACUGGGUGGAGC